rnacentral:misc_RNA from 1 species
UUUUUUUCUUGAUAUAAUAUAAAUGAACCAACUUCAAAGGAAUUUUUGUUUCACAUACUGUAAUGAGGUACAGGUUUGCGAUUCUAUAUGAAAUUAAAAAACGAAGGUACUUUGGCGCGUCAACUAUAUAUAAUUUGGAAAAUUCAGAUGUACAAAAUAAGAAGGUAAAGCAUCUCUACAGGAACAAAUUUCAAAGAGAAGUUUACAAAUUUUGGGGUAGGCCGAAGCCUUUGUCAGCUCAAUACAACUAAACGUAUUUGCAGAAACAGUAUAUGCUGCCAUUACAAAACUUACACUUACCAAGGUUUCAAGUCUCCUACAGGUCCUGCUGUCCAAUUCAAAACCUUUUCACCAGGCUUCAGGAAAAUCUUAUUGUCAUGGGGCAAUUUGCGAGCUAGCCCAUUCAGUAUUUGGUGGAAAGCAUCUCCUGAUUGUGCAGGUUGUGGGAAUUGCAUUGCUCGUUUCAUUGAAGGAUUUGCAAGAAGCCUCUGCUUUCUUAAAAUCACAUCUGUUGGUAUAGAUGUUAGGAUUAUAUCCAAGUUAGGGACAUCUUCUUCUGCCACAAAUACUCCUAUGUCCUCCCAUGGGAUAGCAUCUGCAAAGGGUAAAACAAUGUCAUCUGCUAUGAUCACAGGAAUGCAGCCAAACACCACUGCUUCAACUAAUCUUGGACUCCAUGGGGCCCAACCAAGUGGGCACAAGCAGAAUAUAGCUCGUUGCAUGUCUUCAUAAUAUGUGGUUGGAUGUUCAGUCGAGAUGUCAAAGAGAGCAUUGUUCUUGAAAUUCUCCCAAACAGCUGCCCUUGCACCUCUUGCAUAAUAACCACCUUCUGGAUCAUUAUUUACAUCAUAAAACAAACCACGGAAGUAGACAAAGAUGGAUCGCGGAGUGUCUGGGGGAAUCUGGCGGGCCUGCAUUUUUUUUGGGGGAGCAUAUGGAGGAAUUAUAAUUGAACCCUCAUUCAAGCAUACAUGAUUCCGCUGUCCAAAAGUUUGAACCAAAGUAGCACGUUGGAGUAAUGGAAGAAUUCCCCGUUUAAUGGCUUUCUCUUCCUACAAAAUUGAGUAAACAUAUUACUGAAUUGAGAUUAUGGGCUGAGGCAAGAGUCCAGCUUAGACCAACAAUUGGCAAAAGGUCAGAACUAAAAUUACCCAAAUAUUAGAACUAACCAAUUAGUUAGCUGACCCUCCACUCUCAUAAAUCCUUUGACAAUACAAAUUAUUGACAGUAGAAACUGUUGUUGAUUUGUGCAAUUUAGAUGAUUAAAAUGAGAUCAUAUCAAACAAAAGGCCUUAACUCCAAGUGAUUCCAAUGUGAAAUUAGAUAACCUCUAGAACCUUCUCGACAUGUCCAUCAUGUGUGGAAGCAGACAUGUUUUAACUAAAUACUGGGAAAAUCUUUUCUUUAUGAUAUGUUGUCUUAUUUUUGGGACUUACGCUGUCACCAUGUGGUUGUGGAUUAAUGGCUUUCACCUUUGAGGAACAUAAAUAAGCAGAAAAAAAUCUAAGAAUUACUGCAGGAAGCAAUGAGGGCAACAUUGCCUAAAGAAAGAUGAUGAUAAUAUCUUUGACAACACGGCAGAGAUAUUGGGAACUAACCCAGUAUGCAUAGAACAAGCACAUUUUAUUGUUUAGAUUUUUAGUCUUCCUCAUUCUAUCUCCAGAUCCAAUAACCAAAGUCAUAGCUUUUAAGGUUUCUAGAUCUAUAGGUUUUCGAUUAAUAAUUCCUUAUAUUCGAGGCUUGAAACCUCUGAGAUCAAUUUCACACACCUUGAGCAACCAAAGGUCUACUCAUCUAAAUCUCCAAUUCUAAUUUGCCGCCUAUGGGAACAAAGAAAGUAGACUACAAGAUUAAUGCCUAAAAGAACUGGAAGACCAAUAUCAAAACGAGCAUAACAUAUGACAAACUUAUAUAAAUCAGACCAACUGCACGUAAGCAUAAAUUAGCAGCAUGAAAUCAAGACAUAGAUUCCAACUAAGCAUGGAUCUUGCCUGGUAAUGAAAGCAUGCUCCAAAAUCAUGAGGCACAACAAAGAAAUGAUCAGCCCCAUCUGUGCGAUUCCAAUAAGGCCAAUUGGUAGAGAUCAGCUGUAUUGCACUUCUCAUCAUCCGUGGAGAUUUGAAGGGCAAUGGCAUGCCAGUAGGUGUAAGGUCACAAGUGGUAUAUAUAGGGGUGUAAAACCAAUCCGCUUCAUCAGGAUUAAGGGUUCGAACUGGGCUGGAUAAAAGAAACCUAUGAAUGAAGAUCUCUGCAGCAAACAUAUAGGUGAGACAUCUUGGGUCUUUCUGUAGCAAUUUCUUGUUGUAUUUGCUAGGAAGCUCAUAUACAUAGACUUUCAACCUUCCCACUGGAUCAUCUUCCAAAACAUCACCAGCACUUCCUGAAAUCCGCUCAGUGCGAGGCCUCUGAUGAGCAAAAAUUCUGUGAUUAAAGCCAAAAAUAAACAGCAGAACCAAAACCCACAUGGAUACCCUCAUAUUUUGUGCCCCCAAUAGGAAUUCUUGAAUAAAAACCAAAAUGGGUGAAAAGGGUCCGUCCAACGGAGAAAGAAAAGGAAGUAUUUAUGAGAAGUGAACGGUUGGGAUGUCGUAGAAGUAGUGGUUGAUGAGUUUACUUAGAAAGUAGGCUAAAUGGGAGUGAAAAAAGAGAAGAGAAUGGAGGAGUUACAGAGUUGGAGAUAAAGAUUGAAAAGGAAAUAAACAGAGAAGAAUUUGCUUGAAGAAACGGAGAAAGAAGCAUUGUUAUGAAUAUUGAUGAAAAUGCAGCAGGAGCUGCAAACAACACGUUCAAAUCUGUGUGGGUUAAGUGAAAGGUGUGUUUGUUUUACCAGUUGGAUGACAAGUCCAUCUGAUUGCCUUUGCUUAACAACCUCCAUUUUAC